GGAGUUGUGGCUCAGCGGUAGAGCGCUCGCCUAGCUUGUGCGAGGCCCUGGGCCCUGGGUUCCAUCCUCAGCACCA
rnacentral:tRNA from 1 species